rnacentral:rRNA from 1 species
UAGAUACCCUGGUAGUCCACGCUGUAAACGAUGAUUACUAGGUGUUGGGGGUCGAACCUCAGCGCCCAAGCAAACGCGAUAAGUAAUCCGCCUGGGGAGUACGUACGCAAGUAUGAAACUCAAAGGAAUUGACGGGGACCCGCACAAGCGGUGGAGCAUGUGGUUUAAUUCGACGCAACGCGAGGAACCUUACCAGCGUUUGACAUCUUAGGAAUGAGGUAGAAAUAUUUCAGUGUCCCUUCGGGGAAAC